rnacentral:lncRNA from 7 species
CACUACCGCUCGGCCGUUGUCAUGAGGCUGGUCUUUGGGCCCUCGCUGCCAGCUCCUGCGUGUAACUACCGGCGCGAAGCUCACGCAACGGCCGCCACGCGCGCCGCUGACCCCAGCGUGGCCGUCGUGGUCGUAGCUCCUCGCCUACAAAUAGGGGGAACCCUGGCAACGCACACCCCCCACCCGAACACACAAAGCCAUCGGAGCGCCACCAGGAGAGACUCGCCGCGAGCAGAGGAGUGAUCUGAGGGCGGCCGCCGUCGGUGAACUCUUGACGCCAUCGUUGGGGCUUCGGUGUGGAAUUUGGGUGCUGUGCUGGGCAUCAAGAGCAUGUUGGUGGCCUUGGCGGGGGUCGCGGUGCAUCGAGAACGGGCGAAUUUCUCGCCGUCGUCGCGUCGCCACCGCGGUUCCGCCCUUCACCGUGGGCUGCUGCACCUCCUACGUGCACCUCGACGGGCAGGCAACUGA